CGGAGCGUGCAACAGAGAGUACGGCAGCUGAAAAGUCAGGCAAGUUGUAAAGUGGAUAGUGCCUGCACGAGUGUUUUAAAACUGAGACAUAAUGAAAAUAAGUUCUAUGUGCAUAUUCAAAAAACACAUUAUGGCCACAAUCUAGAUCUACAACACUUAAGGAUUUAAAAUCAUGACAAAGGACUAAUUGCUUCAAAACUAAUAGCUGGUGUAACCAAGACGAGGAUUGUAGAUUCUACCAGAGACAAAAUUCAGGAUUCGUUGCAACGCAUAGAUUUGCUAACUUUCAAGGAUGUUGACAAUAUAAAACGCAGUUACAAUAUUGAGACUAGAGAUGAAAAAAGACAUAACAAUGAUGCUGUAUCUGUAGAUCUUUGGGUACAAGAAUGCCAGGCCUUGUGCCAAACAGGGUGACACAUCUGAUAACUUUGGAAAAAAUGAUUUCUGCCUCGCUGUCAUGACCAUGAUGAACUCGGUUAAUGAUCCUGCAUAUUUGUAGUUUAAUAUAAUUUUUAAUAAUAAUAACUUUAUAUAACUUUUAUAAACAAUUAAUGUUCUGCUAGUUUUUUAAAUUAAAAAUGGGUUUCAAUUGUAUGACAAUAUCAGUAUGUUUUGUGAUUUAUUAUAUAUUAUUUUAUUAUUUUUGGAAAUUCUUGUUAUAAAUACACUAACUUAUAUACUUUAAAUAUAAUAUUUUGGUUUUACA